rnacentral:rRNA from 1 species
UAACGCGAAGAACCUUACCUGGGUUUGACAUAUGCCGGAAAGCUGUAGAGAUACAGCCCCUUUUAGUCGGUAUACAGGUGGUGCAUGGCUGUCGUCAGCUCGUGUCGUGAGAUGUUGGGUUAAGUCCCGCAACGAGCGCAACCCUUGUCCUAUGUUGCCAGCGGUUUAAGCCGGGGACUCAUAGGAGACUGCCGGGGUCAACUCGGAGGAAGGUGGGGACGACGUCAAGUCAUCAUGGCCCUUAUGUCCUGGGCUGCAAACAUGCUACAAUGGCCGGUACAGAGGGCUGCAAACCCGCGAGGGGGAGCCAAUCCCAAAAAGCCGGUCUCAGUUCGGAUCGGGGUCUGCAACUCGACCCCGUGAAGUCGGAGUCGCUAGUAAUCGCGAAUCAGCAACGUCGCGGUGAAUACGUUCCCGGGUCUUGUACACACCGA